CUUAAGCAUAUCACUAAGCGGAGGAAAAGAAACUAACUAGGAUUCCCCCAGUAACUGCGAGUGAAGAGGGAAGAGCUCAUCAUUGGAAUCUGGCAGCGUUGCGCUGUCCGAGUUGUAGAUGAGAAGAGUAGGUCAUCUGGACUGCGUGGUGUCCAAGUACAAUAGGCCGUCAGUGGGACAUCAUAGAGGGUGACAAUCCCGUCCUUGACAACCAACGUACGAGUCCAUUACGAUGCCUAUCUCAGAGAGUCGAGCAGUUUGGGAUUUGCUGCUUAAACAUGGGAGGUAGAUUCCUUCUAAAGCUAAAUACAGGCAAGAGACCGAUAGAGAACAAGUACCGCAAGGGAAAGAUGAAAUAGAACUCUGUGAAGGGAGUCAAAAAGACGUGAAAUUGUUGCGAGAGAAGCGAUUCAAGUCAGCGUAGCUAGGCCCAUCAAGCUUCUUGCUUUGGACUAGCUUUGCCAGCGGUCUUGUCCUUUUAGAGACUUGACUUUUGACGUGCCCUGUCCGGUCUAACGGGCAGGCCCUUCGGGGCCAGUGGCAUGGCUGGUGGAAUGGCUUGCAAUCGACCCGUCUUGAAACACGGACCAAGGAGUCUAACAUGUGUGCGAGUAUAAGGGUGGCAAACCCGUAUGCGCAAAGAAAGUGAUAGCCUUUUAUGGCUGAGAAUGGCCUGAUGACCAGACAAGCAAUAUUAUGUUCCUCGUACGGUCAUUGCCCAAGUCCCGUGGUCAGAUCCCAUGGACAUGGAGUUAGAGCAUACAUGCUAGGACCCGAAAGAUGGUGAACUAUGCCUGGACAAAGCGAAGCCAAAGGAAACUCUGGUGGAGGCUUGUAGCGAUUCUGACGUGCAAAUCGAUCGUCUGAUCUGGGUAUAGGGGCGAAAGACUAAUCGAACCAU
rnacentral:rRNA from 1 species